UACGAAGGGGGCUAGCGUUGUUCGGAAUUACUGGGCGUAAAGCGCACGUAGGCGGUUUUCCAAGUUGGAGGUGAAAUCCCUGGGCUUAACCCAGGAACUGCCUCCAAGACUGGGAGACUCGAGUCCGAGAGAGGUGAGUGGAAUUUCCAGUGUAGAGGUGAAAUUCGUAGAUAUUGGAAAGAACACCAGUGGCGAAGGCGGCUCACUGGCUCGGUACUGACGCUGAGGAGCGACAGCGUGGGGAGCAAACAGG
rnacentral:rRNA from 1 species